CCUUUCGAACGAGGAGACCCUCCCGUCGCUCACUGCAUGCCAGUUACAUGUCCCGCGACUUGGCGGUUACAGCACCAAGGGAACUCGGAACCACGGGAGGUUUGCAGCCAAGUAUACGACGCUCAAGAUAGCGGGCCCACGCAGACGACCCCCUCCGGGCCUCCUGUUCGGCGGGAUACCGGACGAAAAUUCUGAUGAGUCGCUCGCAUUCGGAUACCCGCGCGGAGAGGAACACCGGAAGACAAGGAGAGCGGAGGUAGACAUCAUGCCCGGCUGGAUCGCCUUCAUCCCUAUCCUCUUGGUGUAUGGCUCUGUCGUCCUCACGUGGUUCCUCAAGAAGUUCCUCCGCGCCAAUCCCGAGGCCCAGGUACAGUCGGAGGAGCAGGUCCGCCAGCAGCAGACAGUGGACGAUGAACACAAGGAGAAGACUGAAUAACUGAAUUAAACGCUGGCCUCUCGGACGGAAAGGAUUUUGUCUCCUGAAGGCGGGGUUCCCAGUGAAGAACUACGCAGGAUUUCCCACCAGAUGAUGAACACUGUUGAUUUAUUCGGGCCCUAGCGAGUCUUAGCAACUAGCAACGCUUGAGACGACGGAAAGAAACUAACAACACCUUCAUGUCUGUGUUUGUGAAGGUUCAGGUGACACACGACUUCGGAAUGUUCUGGAAAUAGCAGUUCCUUGAGAGACACUGUAAUUUUUCAUCAGUAAUAAAGGUCACUGAAGAAAUUCGGAAUAGAGUUUGGAACUUCAGGUCGAUACUUUUCUUCACCGCCCUUUUCAACUUUUGGUGAUUAUGAAUAAGUGAUGAAAGUGUCCUAUUAAAUUCUAAGGAUUACAAAAGGAAACGUAAAAAGUUCAUUGGAGAUUAAGUGAACCUGAGCAAGACAGGAAUAAAAUUCGAGCCAUCCUGGAAACUUAUUUCUAUCCAAAGAUGUCUUCAGACGGCGAGCAGAAGCUUCUCGAUGCGUUUGAUAUAAGGGUGGAACAGCUAGACUACGGAUUUCUGAAGGAGUGCGAAGAUGGUAAGACAAUCGAGCGGAUAAUUCGAAUCUUAAGAUCCGGAGAAGAAGGCUUGUAUCCUGACCUCCUCAAGUUCGCAGAGGACAGGCUGGCUGAGGUGAAUCCCGAAAGCCGGAUGCUGUUGGAAGACAAGCCAGCAGUUCGCAUUCAGGAUCUCCCGCCAGACCUUUUGCAAAGCUUGGAGGCCGAUAUGGAAGGCUUGGUCAGCUAAGGUCAAAGCAGAGGAGGAUGACCUGACCAGCCUGGAAGUCAUCCGAGGUCCUCUGCCCCCUGUGCGCGGGUCAGCCAGAGCAGGUUCCGCGCCGCCCAGGCUCUCCUCGGAGGAAAUACAGAGACUCCUACAAGAGGCUCAGAAUUAUCUCCAAGACGACGACAUCUUCCAGGCGUCCGUGCGUUACCAGAAGGUUCUCGAAUGCGACCCUGGCCACCCCGGAGCACUCCAAGGCAUGGCGAAGGUGCACGACCACCAAGGCUUGAAUAGGAGGUUAUCAGACGGCGGCGGUUGUGGUAGCAGCAGCGGGGUCGUGCAGGAGAUCUAGAGACUACCCUGAUAUAAAGGCAUCCGCCGUGUUAUGAGCCAGAAAGAGCUGCCAAGUUCGGUGGUCAGCCGGAGAGGUUCUAAAAAUGAAAAUUGUUCUCCACUUCGUUUGCAAAUCAUCUACAUUCUUCACAUAAAGGGUCAACACUUAUGUAUUGUGCAAUACAACCCAGAUGGAGGAACUCACCUUUACGAGUGUAUAUAGUCUAAUGUACACAUACGCCACAACUUUUAUUUCAACUGUCCACCUCUGACCACUUGAGAUUCCUAAUAUGACGGCAAUUCUGUUCAAGUGUCCUCUUAAGAUCAGGCUAAGAUCAGGCUCUUCAGAGCGCCGGUGAUCCCGGUCUUACUCUACGGGGUGAGACCUGGACACUGAUCAGUGCUCGGAAGGCCCGACUUGACUCCUUUGGUACUAGUGUCUUUGCAGAAUCAUGGGGUAUACCUAGAGGGACCCUGAGGAUACUCCGUAAGACUGAUUCAAGACCAGUCUGAUACGAGAGCGCCAACUUCACCUCUAUGGGCAUGUGACUCGUUUUCCUGAGGAUGAUCCGACUUAUAGGGUGAUCUCCGAGAGGGUUGACCCAGGCUGGAGAAGACCAAGGGGAAGCCCAUGGAACUCCUGGUUGAAGCAAUUCGACCAGAUCUGCCAAGAUGUGCUGGGUGUGGGAAGGAAUGCUGCAUGAAGGCUUGUUCGGAGGGACCCUAGGAGGUGGAGCCAAAAGCUGGGCACGGCAAAGCGCAGCCACGCGUAUGCCUCCCUUAUUAUGAUGAUGUCUCUUAUCAUUGAUAGUCUCUUUAGGAUAAUGGGAGAUAAAAAAAACAUACUGUACAACUAAAUGCAUUCUAUAAACUAUUCACGAGUAUAUCGGUGUAUAAAUAAAAAAAACUGAGCACAAAUGUAUUUUU